rnacentral:rRNA from 1 species
ACUAAGCGUACACGGUGGAUGCCCUGGCAGUCAGAGGCGAUGAAGGGCGUGCUAAUCUGCGAUAAGCGCCGGUAAGGUGAUAUGAACCGUUAUAACCGGCGAUACCCGAAUGGGGAAACCCAGUGUGACUCGUCACACUAUCAUUAACUGAAUCCAUAGGUUAAUGAGGCGAACCGGGGGAACUGAAACAUCUAAGUACCCCGAGGAAAAGAAAUCAACCGAGAUUCCCCCAGUAGCGGCGAGCGAACGGGGAGGAGCCCAGAGCCUGAAUCAGCAUGUGUGUUAGUGGAAGCGUCUGGAAAGGCGCGCGAUACAGGGUGACAGCCCCGUACACAAAAGCGCAUGUGCUGUGAGCUCGAUGAGUAGGGCGGGACACGUGGUAUCCUGUCUGAAUAUGGGGGGACCAUCCUCCAAGGCUAAAUACUCCUGACUGACCGAUAGUGAACCAGUACCGUGAGGGAAAGGCGAAAAGAACCCCGGCGAGGGGAGUGAAAAAGAACCUGAAACCGUGUACGUACAAGCAGUGGGAGCNGCUUUGGGGUGGGGUGACUGCGUACCUUUUGUAUAAUGGGUCAGCGACUUAUAUUCUGUAGCAAGGUUAACCGAAUAGGGGAGCCGGAGGGAAACCGAGUCUUAAUUGGGCGUUAAGUUGCAGGGUAUAGACCCGAAACCCGGUGAUCUAGCCAUGGGCAGGUUGAAGGUUGGGUAACACUAACUGGAGGACCGAACCGACUAAUGUUGAAAAAUUAGCGGAUGACCUGUGGCUGGGGGUGAAAGGCCAAUCAAACCGGGAGAUAGCUGGUUCUCCCCGAAAGCUAUUUAGGUAGCGCCUCGUGAAUUCAUCUCCGGGGGUAGAGCACUGUUUCGGCUAGGGGGCCAUCCCGGCUUACCAACCCGAUGCAAACUGCGAAUACCGGAGAAUGUUAUCACGGGAGACACACGGCGGGUGCUAACGUCCGUCGUGAAGAGGGAAACAACCCAGACCGCCAGCUAAGGUCCCAAAGUCAUGGUUAAGUGGGAAACGAUGUGGGAAGGCCCAGACAGCCAGGAUGUUGGCUUAGAAGCAGCCAUCAUUUAAAGAAAGCGUAAUAGCUCACUGGUCGAGUCGGCCUGCGCGGAAGAUGUAACGGGGCUAAACCAUGCACCGAAGCUGCGGCAGCGACGCUUAUGCGUUGUUGGGUAGGGGAGCGUUCUGUAAGCCUGUGAAGGUGGCCUGUGAGGGUUGCUGGAGGUAUCAGAAGUGCGAAUGCUGACAUAAGUAACGAUAAAGCGGGUGAAAAGCCCGCUCGCCGGAAGACCAAGGGUUCCUGUCCAACGUUAAUCGGGGCAGGGUGAGUCGACCCCUAAGGCGAGGCCGAAAGGCGUAGUCGAUGGGAAACGGGUUAAUAUUCCCGUACUUGGUGUUACUGCGAAGGGGGGACGGAGAAGGCUAUGUUGGCCGGGCGACGGUUGUCCCGGUUUAAGCGUGUAGGUGUGUGUUCCAGGUAAAUCCGGUUCACUUUAACACUGAGGCGUGACGACGAGGCACUACGGUGCUGAAGCAACAAAUGCCCUGCUUCCAGGAAAAGCCUCUAAGCAUCAGGUAACAUCAAAUCGUACCCCAAACCGACACAGGUGGUCAGGUAGAGAAUACCAAGGCGCUUGAGAGAACUCGGGUGAAGGAACUAGGCAAAAUGGUGCCGUAACUUCGGGAGAAGGCACGCUGACACGUAGGUGAAGUGAUUUACUCAUGGAGCUGAAGUCAGUCGAAGAUACCAGCUGGCUGCAACUGUUUAUUAAAAACACAGCACUGUGCAAACACGAAAGUGGACGUAUACGGUGUGACGCCUGCCCGGUGCCGGAAGGUUAAUUGAUGGGGUCAGCGCAAGCGAAGCUCCUGAUCGAAGCCCCGGUAAACGGCGGCCGUAACUAUAACGGUCCUAAGGUAGCGAAAUUCCUUGUCGGGUAAGUUCCGACCUGCACGAAUGGCGUAAUGAUGGCCAGGCUGUCUCCACCCGAGACUCAGUGAAAUUGAACUCGCUGUGAAGAUGCAGUGUACCCGCGGCAAGACGGAAAGACCCCGUGAACCUUUACUAUAGCUUGACACUGAACAUUGAGCCUUGAUGUGUAGGAUAGGUGGGAGGCUUUGAAGUGUGGACGCCAGUCUGCAUGGAGCCGACCUUGAAAUACCACCCUUUAAUGUUUGAUGUUCUAACGUGGACCCGUGAUCCGGGUUGCGGACAGUGUCUGGUGGGUAGUUUGACUGGGGCGGUCUCCUCCUAAAGAGUAACGGAGGAGCACGAAGGUUGGCUAAUCCUGGUCGGACAUCAGGAGGUUAGUGCAAUGGCAUAAGCCAGCUUGACUGCGAGCGUGACGGCGCGAGCAGGUGCGAAAGCAGGUCAUAGUGAUCCGGUGGUUCUGAAUGGAAGGGCCAUCGCUCAACGGAUAAAAGGUACUCCGGGGAUAACAGGCUGAUACCGCCCAAGAGUUCAUAUCGACGGCGGUGUUUGGCACCUCGAUGUCGGCUCAUCACAUCCUGGGGCUGAAGUAGGUCCCAAGGGUAUGGCUGUUCGCCAUUUAAAGUGGUACGCGAGCUGGGUUUAGAACGUCGUGAGACAGUUCGGUCCCUAUCUGCCGUGGGCGCUGGAGAACUGAGGGGGGCUGCUCCUAGUACGAGAGGACCGGAGUGGACGCAUCACUGGUGUUCGGGUUGUCAUGCCAAUGGCACUGCCCGGUAGCUAAAUGCGGAAGAGAUAAGUGCUGAAAGCAUCUAAGCACGAAACUUGCCCCGAGAUGAGUUCUCCCUGAGACUUAGAGUCUCCUGAAGGAACGUUGAAGACGACGACGUUGAUAGGCCGGGUGUGUAAGCGCAGCGAUGCGUUGAGCUAACCGGUACUAAUGAACCGUGAGGCUUAACC